AAGAACCUUACCAGGCCUUGACAUGCAGAGAACUUUCCAGAGAUGGAUUGGUGCCUUCGGGAACUCUGACACAGGUGCUGCAUGGCUGUCGUCAGCUCGUGUCGUGAGAUGUUGGGUUAAGUCCCGUAACGAGCGCAACCCUUGCCUUAGUUACCAGCACGUUAUGGUGGGCACUCUAAGGAGACUGCCGGUGACAAACCGGAGGAAGGUGGGGAUGGACGUCAAGUCAUCAUGGCCCUUACGGCCUGGGCUACACACGUGCUACAAUGGUCGGUACAAAGGGUUGCCAAGCCGCGAGGUGGAGCUAAUCCCAUAAAACCGAUCGUAGUCCGGAUCGCAGUCUGCAACUCGACUGCGUGAAGUCGGAAUCGCUAGUAAUCGUGAAUCAGAAUGUCACGGUGAAUACGUUCCCGGGCCUU
rnacentral:rRNA from 1 species